ensembl:lncRNA novel transcript, antisense to PTPRN2
AACGGGAUGCCUUGGAAAGCAUCGUUCUGCAGCAGGACUGCUCAACCGGCCAAUCAGAACACAGGGAACCAUGAAAGAGCCCCAGCUCUGUCCCUGUGUGAAUCUCAGGGCUGUUUCGAGGAUGAAAAGGAGGUGUUUAGCCCCGAGCCUCACGUGGAAACAUCUGAUGAGCCUUUGCCAAUAUGCUCGGGACCUGGGGACGGCUGGGGUGACCCCAUCGCAAGGCCGGGCCGUGGAAACAAUCUCAGCCCUGGAACCAGCGCCUGGGAAGUCCCGCGGUGGAUCCGCGUCACGGGGGAGGAUUGGCUCAGCACUGGUCCUGCGGAAUGUGUUUUUAUCAAUGACUUGACGACGUGAAAAACAUGUUUAUAAAACGAGCAGAUGGUGCCGAGCUGAGAGGGAGGUGACGCAGUGACUCAGGAACCACAAGCUCUGGAGGCUGAACGAGAAUCGGUUACAGGAGAUGAACACAAGGCUCGAUUCUCCUGUUAAACUUGACUGUCACCAACGGGGGGUGGGGGGUGCGCGAGGCCCUGGGCUCCACCGAAGACCUUAAGGAAAAGACUCUGGAUGUUAGUGGGUUCGGCCUCAGAAUCAGCCGGCGCUGAGAUGUGCACCUGGCAGGAUGAACGUAACUUCUGGUGGAUAAAGUGGGAGGCCUGAUCCAGGAAGAAGCACACCGUGGCCUGGGGCCCCUCUGGAGGGUAGGUCUUCCAAGUCACGGGAAACAGGGCGCCCAGGAGACGGUGAGCCCGGCUGCUGCCACCCCGAAGGCCAGGCUCGCCCCACACUGUGAGACCCUCCCCACACGAAGAUUCUGUAAGCGGAAUCGGAAGGAGGAUGUGAGAAGGACGGGUAGCCAUGCCACACCAGGCCAGACAUCUUACCAACCUAUCGGUUCAGUUUUAAGAAAGAGAGCAAAGAGGAUCUAAAAUCUGAACUUUGAGCAGCUGAACUGUGUGGAGUAUCAACGUGGCUCCUGACAACCCCACCGGCACUGUUUCUUUGCACUGGAGGUCCUGAAGAGCUCACGGAAGGUGCACUUGCAGUUGUAGUUCAGAGAUGAUGCUUUUAGACAAUCUUUCCCUUCGAGAAGUAGCCUAAUGAGAAGGACUCUGUAGAUCUCUUCCUAAAAAAGAAUCCUCAGUCUCUGGCAGAACAGCUGCCCAGAACAGCUUCUGCCUGUGAGGUAGCAAAGAAAAAGGCCCACACAGAAUUUGCUGGGAUAUUUUCUUUCCAACACCAACAAACCGACAGCCUUCCCAAAUCCUAGGGCAGAGUCGGCUGGCACUGAGAUCAAAAGGGGUGAAGGGAAGGCAGCCAGGCUGGGAGUCUCUCUCCAGCAACUUUCUUGGCGAGGUGACAUAUAUGCCCAGAACCUUUUUCUAUGGAAGGAAAAAGAAAACCCUGGCUUAAUCAUCAGAGUUAGGAGAAUCACCCACGUAUUCAUCUUUAAAAGCAAAUCAUGAUAACUUUUGGUCACUCAGAAGUAACCAAGGCAAAAUAUUCCUCUUAGGGGACUCUGUUUAGAGUUUUGGGAGAGAAAAAAAAAAAAACUAAACCAAAGGUUUAUUUAGAAAUAAAUUGUUUUCUGAGUAUUCUAAGGAAAGCUAUGCUUAGCCAAAGUGCUUCAGCCCUUGUACAUGUUUCAAAUACUUCUGUAGAAGUUUGAAAUGGACAUGGAUUUUCCCAACACACACGCACAAUCUCAGGUGAGCCCAAGACAGCCUAUGAGGAUGGCACUGGGGAGUCUGGAUUUCAGCUCUGACGGGCGGGCUCUAAACCCCAAAGUUCUUGUCGGCCAAGUGGGGGGGUUUCUUGUGAGGACCAGAGGUGGCACAUCCACGGGCAUGGGGGACGCUGGCUCACGAUGCCCCAGUGAUGCCGUGGUUAGGACACUGCUCACGCAGCUGCAGCGCAGAGCACGGGGGACGCUGGCUCACGAUGCCCCAGUGAUGCCGUGGUUAGGACGCCGUUCACGCAGCUGCAGCGCAGAGCACGGGGGACGCUGGCUCACGAUGCCCCAGUGAUGCCGUGGUUAGGACGCCGUUCACGCAGCUGCAGCGCAGAGCACGGGCGACGCUGGCUCACGAUGCCCCAGUGAUGCCGUGGUUAGGACGCCGUUCACGCAGCUGCAGCGCAGAGCACGGGCGACGCUGGCUCACGAUGCCCCAGUGAUGCUGUGGUUAGGACGCUGUUCACGCAGCUGCAGCGCAGAGCACGGGGGAUGCUGGCUCACGAUGCCCCAGUGAUGCCAUGGUUAGGAUGCUGCUCAAGCAGCUGCAGCGCAGGGCCAGUGUGGUGACCCUGACUCCUGGGAACGGUGAUCAGCUGGGCCUCUGCCUCACUGGACCACGCUGCAAGGCAAGGGCCUGGGAGAUGCCCACAGCCGCGCCUCUGGCUGUGAGGCAGCUGUGGUCCUCCAGCAGCAAUGCCCUCAGAAGCUGGGAGAUGUGAACCCCACAUGACUCUCCUCCUUGCUGUCUUCCUGUCCCUGAGCCUUCAGCUCUUCGUUGUCUCUGUCUUGUCUCUCUGCAUUGUUUGUCCUGGUUCUCUCUCUCUCUCUCGUUAUUACAACAUAGAGCCAAAAAUACUUUUUUGUUUAGGAUAUGGCACCAAAAUAGUAUCAUAUCCCUGUUCUUCAUCUGAAAUGCAGACAAGCGAAAUGCUGCAUAAUUCUUUUUUAAACAUUCAAAAAACAGAAAAUGCAUGUUAAGUUCUUUAAACUUCUGAGAUAAUACAACUAGACCUAGCAUGGUGCCAGCCAAGCAUUGCAUAAUGUGUGUUUCCUUCUCCUUUGGGGGCUCAUUCCGAUCAGGGUGCAUCUGGGAAGUCGGGCGACUGUGUCCAUCUCCUGGGUGGAAGAAUGACCCAGGGAAGUGCUCCAUGGGGAAGGCGGGGCAUGAGAGAAGGGAGGGGUGGUCCCGAGGACCCUUUCCAUAGACCUGGGAGUUCCCGGUGAGCACGCGGAAAGGACGCGGUGGGAGCGGCAGGUGCAGAGGGAGGACUUGAAGGUUCCAUCCCUAACAGAGGACAGCGUGGCCGAGUACUCAUGCUUCCAACCCUGCACAGAGGAUAGUGCAUGCCCAGCAUGCAGACUCGCUUCCAUCGCGACACAGAGGACAGCAUGGAGCCCAGCUCGAGUGCCGUCCCCCCACCAUGACAGCGCAGCAUGGGCCUUCCAAGCCACAGAGCCACAGGGAAGCCAGUCCUCCUGGACCGUGUGUGGCUGUUUUGGAGCCAGUUGUGUCCUGUGAAGAGCGCAGCGGCCGCAGGUGAGGCAGGAGUGAAGAUGGAGGAGGCGGCCAUCUCUCUGGGGCCUGGCAACAGCGAGAGCUUUUGCCAAGCCACUGUCUCCCGGAGGACAAGAUCUCCUUCCCAAAAGCAAGAUGGCCAAGAGUAUGGAGAAGAAAGUAGGUAAUACAAGUUUGCUCAGAAUAAACCUAUGUGUUCAUG